rnacentral:rRNA from 1 species
ACUGACGGCCACACCUAACCCUGAGCACAGCCCGAUCUCGUCUGAGCUCGGAAGCUAAGCAGGGUCGGGCCCGGUUAGUACUUGGAUGGGAGACCGCCUGGGAAUACCAGGUGCUGUAAGCU